rnacentral:lncRNA from 1 species
GCCAUGCCUGAGCCCCCACCCCCUCCCCGCCACCCCCAGCCCACUGCUGUGGACUCCUGCGCCGCCCGAGCCUCCUCGACGAGCACCGCCCCCUGCUCCAGGGCGCCCAGUCCCAUAGACCGCCCGAAGGCUGAGGACUGCUGGCGCAUGGCGCGGGACUGGCAGGCAGCUCCACCUGCGGCCCCUGUGCGGGAUCCACUGCGUGAAGCCAGCUGGGCUCCUGAGUAUGGUGGGGACUUGAAGUAUCUUUAUGUCUAGGUAAGGGAUUGUAAAUACACCAGUCAGCACUCUGUAUCUAGCUCAAGUUUUGUAAACACACCAAUCAGCACCCUGUGUCUAGCUCAGGGUUUGUGAAUGCACCAAUGGACACUGCAUCUAGCUAAUCUAGUGGGGAGGUGGAGAACUUUUGUGUCUAGCUCAGGGAUUGUAAAGCACCAAUCAGCACCCUGUUAAAACAGACCAAUCAGCUCUCUGUAAAAUGGACCAAUCAGCAGGAUGUGGGUGGGACCAGAUAAGAGAAUAAAAGCAGGCUGCCUGAGCUGGCGGUGGCAAUGCUUCCCUGUCUCCUUCUGUACUGUGGAAGCUUUGCUCUUUUACUCUGCAAUAAAUCUUGCUGCUGCUAACUGUUUGGGUCCACGCUACCUCUAUAAGCUGUAACACUCACCAUAAAGGUCUUACAGCUUCAUUCCUGAAGCCAGUGAGACCACGAACCCAGCAGGAGGAACGAACAACUCCAGACGCGCUGCCUUAAGAGCUGUUAACACUCACCGCAAGGUCUGCAGCUUCACUCCUGAAGCCAGAGAGACCACGAACCCAGCAGGAGGAAUGAACAACUCCAGAUGCGCCGCCUUAAGAGCUGUAACGCUCACCGCGAAGGUCUGCAGCCUCACUCCUGAGCCAGCGAGACCACGAACCCACCAGAAGGAAGAAACUCCGAACACAUCCGAACCUCGGAAGGAAGAAACUCCAAACACAUCCAAACAUCAGAAGGAACAAACUCUGCACACACCGCCUUUAAGAACUGUAACACUCACCACCAGGGUUCGCGGCUUCAUUCUUGAAGUCAGUGAGACCAAGAAGCCACCAAUUCCGGACACAAUAUGAAAUGUGAAAUGUAAGAUCAUCUGAAGGAGAGCUUUGGUUCAAGUCAAAUGCAUGCCUCAACCUAGCAGAGCCAAAGAGAUACUUGUAUGAUGUAAGUCAGAUUAUGUCAUUCUUCUGCUCAAAACUCUCCAAUAAAUAGCUCACCAUUCCCUUCAGAGAAAAGCCAAAGGACUUAAAAUGGCCAACAAAGCCUAUGAUCUGCACCCCCCUCCUCCCUCUACCUCACUUCAUCUUUCUCCCUGACUCACUUGGUUUCAGUCCUACUUGCCUGAUAUGUUCCCUCAAUUACACUCCCAUUUCAGGACAUUUGCACUGACUGUUUCCUCUGCCUGGACCCCACUUGCUCCAGCUUUGCACAUGGCUACCUCCCUUACUUUCUUCAGGUGCUUGCUAAAAUACCGUCCUCUCAAUGAGGCCUACCCUGAGCACCCUAUUUAAAAUUGUAACCUGCCGUUCCCUCCCCCUACAAGCUUUCAAAUUUCGUCAUCUUUUUUUAGUUUUUGCUAUAACAAUUAAUCACUUUCUAAUAUACUAAUUCUAAUAAGAAUUUACUUAUUUAUAUAUUUAUUGCUUAACGUCUAUAUCUGUCUGUGAGAAUAUAAGGCCCAUGAAGUCAGGGAUCUUUUUCUGUUCUUAACAUUGUUGUAUUCCAAAUGGGAGACUGUUGCUUGGCUCAUGGUAAUCACUCAGUUAAUAGCUGUCACAUUAAUUAAUCCUUGCCAUCUCUUCUGUGCUGGAAUUUGUCCAUGAUAGAAGCCUCCUGAUCUGCCAGACCAGUGUUGUCCUAAUAUUUUAUUCAGUCCAGAAUCUGUAAUGUUUUUAUUGCCAAUAAAGCAUGUGAAAGGAAAAUAAAUCUUGGGUCCCC